rnacentral:rRNA from 1 species
GUGGGGAAUAUUGCACAAUGGACGGAAGUCUGAUGCAGCGACGCCGCGUGGGGGAUGACGGCCUUCGGGUUGUAAACUCCUUUCGCCCAUGACGAAGCUUUUUGUGACGGUAGUGGGAGAAGAAGCACCGGCUAACUACGUGCCAGCAGCCGCGGUAAUACGUAGGGUGCGAGCGUUGUCCGGAAUUAUUGGGCGUAAAGAGCUUGUAGGCGGUUUGUCGCGUCUGCCGUGAAAGCCCAGGGCUUAACCCUGGGUCUGCGGUGGGUACGGGCAGGCUAGAGUGUGGUAGGGGAGACUGGAAUUCCUGGUGUAGCGGUGAAAUGCGCAGAUAUCAGGAGGAACACCGAUGGCGAAGGCAGGUCUCUGGGCCAUAACUGACGCUGAGAAGCGAAAGCAUGGGGAGCGAACAGGAUUAGAUACCCUUGUAGUCC